CCCUUCGGGGUGUGACUGCGUACCUUUUGUAUAAUGGGUCAGCGACUUAUAUUCUGUAGCAAGGUUAACCGUAUAGGGGAGCCGGAGGGAAACCGAGUCUUAAUUGGGCGUUAAGUUGCAGGGUAUAGACCCGAAACCCGGUGAUCUAGCCAUGGGCAGGUUGAAGGUUGGGUAACACUAACUGGAGGACCGAACCGACUAAUGUUGAAAAAUUAGCGGAUGACCUGUGGCUGGGGGUGAAAGGCCAAUCAAACCGGGAGAUAGCUGGUUCUCCCCGAAAGCUAUUUAGGUAGCGCCUCGUGAAUUCAUCUCCGGGGGUAGAGCACUGUUUCGGCUAGGGGGCCAUCCCGGCUUACCAACCCGAUGCAAACUGCGAAUACCGGAGAAUGUUAUCACGGGAGACACACGGCGGGUGCUAACGUCCGUCGUGAAGAGGGAAACAACCCAGACCGCCAGCUAAGGUCCCAAAGUCAUGGUUAAGUGGGAAACGAUGUGGGAAGGCCCAGACAGCCAGGAUGUUGGCUUAGAAGCAGCCAUCAUUUAAAGAAAGCGUAAUAGCUCACUGGUCGAGUCGGCCUGCGCGGAAGAUGUAACGGGGCUAAACCAUGCACCGAAGCUGCGGCAGCGAACGUAUCACCCAAGACAACUUUACGG
rnacentral:rRNA from 1 species